GAUAAACGCUGGCGGCGUGCUUCAGGCAUGCAAGUCGAACGGGUCAUGGCCUUCGGGCCAUGACUAGUGGCGGACGGGUGAGUAACACGUAAGCAACCUGCCCGGAAGUGGGGAAUAACUGACCGAAAGGUUGGCUAAUACCGCAUGUGAUGGGCCUUCCCUGGAGGGUCCAUUAAAGGCGAAAGUCGCUUCUGGAGGGGCUUGCGGUCGAUUAGCUUGUUGGUGGGGUAAUGGCCUACCAAGGCUGCGAUCGAUAGCUGGUCUGAGAGGACGGUCAGCCACACGGGGACUGAGAUACGGCCCCGACUCCUACGGGAGGCAGCAGCUAGGAAUCUUGGGAAUGGGCGAAAGCCUGACCCAGCAACGCCGCGUGGGCGAUGAAGGCCUUCGGGUCGUAAAGCCCUUUUGCAGGGGAAGAUGAUGACGGUACCCUGCGAAUAAGCCACGGCUAACUACGUGCCAGCAGCCGCGGUAAUACGUAGGUGGCAAGCGUUGUCCGGAUUUACUGGGCGUAAAGGGCGUGCAGGCGGUUUGUUAAGUCUAGGGUGAAAGCUCCCGGCUCAACUGGGAGAGGUCCUUGGAUACUGGCAGACUUGAGGGAGGCAGAGGAGAGUGGAAUUCCCGGUGUAGUGGUGAUAUGCGUAGAUAUCGGGAGGAACACCAGUGGCGAAGGCGGCUCUCUGGGCCUUACCUGACGCUGAGACGCGAAAGCGUGGGGAGCGAACCGGAUUAGAUACCCGGGUAGUCCACGCCGUAAACUAUGAACACUAGGUGUGGGGGGUAUCGACCCCCUCUGUGCCGCAGCUAACGCAAUAAGUGUUCCGCCUGGGGAGUACGGCCGCAAGGCUA
rnacentral:rRNA from 1 species